CGGGUGAGUAAUGCCUAGGAAUCUGCCUGGUAGGUGGGGGACGAACGUUUCGAAAGGAACGCUAAUACCGCAUACGUCCUACGGGAGAAAGCAGGGGACCGUUCGGGCCUUGCGCUAUCAGAUGAGCCUAGGUCGGAUUAGCUAGUUGGUGAGGUAAUGGCUCACCAAGGCGACGAUCCGUAACUGGUCUGAGAGGAUGAUCAGUCACACUGAACUGAGACACGGUCCAGACUCCUACGGGAGGCAGCAGAU
rnacentral:rRNA from 1 species